UACAGAGGGUGCAAGCGUUAAUCGGAGUUACUGGGCGUAAAGGGCGCGUAGGCGGUGAAUUGGGUGUGGUGUGAAAGCCCCGGGCUUAACCUGGGAAGUGCAUCGCAAACUAAUUGACUGGAGUAGAUGAGAGGGUGGCGGAAUUUCCGGUGUAGCGGUGAAAUGCGUAGAGAUCGGAAGGAACGUCAAUGGCGAAGGCGAGCCACCUGGCAUCAUACUGAGCUGAGGCGCGAGAGCGUGGGGAGCGAACAGG
rnacentral:rRNA from 1 species